rnacentral:piRNA from 1 species
UUCAAAGACUAUUGUAGACAUGAGGAUGGUUA